rnacentral:lncRNA from 1 species
GGACGAAAACAUGUGCCCUGUUCUAUGGUUUAGAGAAAUGGAAGGGUGAGACAGAAGGCAUGUUAGUACACAGGUAAUGUUGGUGGACCUGAUGAAAUGUAUGAAAAAUAACACCAUGACAUAUUGCUGUAGUCAUCAUAUGGUAUUUCAAAAAGUAUAACUACAUAGAAGCAUCAUCAUACCCAAGUGUCAGAAAUUAGUUUUACUAAUUUGAUAGCAGUGCCUCUAUCAGAAUCUGACAUAUAUAUAGUUGUGUAUUCCAUACAAGUUUUACCUAGAUGGUGAUAUACGAUGACAUAGAAGACACAUACUGAUAUACAUACAUCCUUAUCACAUGUGUGUAUAAAUAUAUAUGUAUAAUUCAUCCAAAUAUACUGCUUAGACUGGCAUAAAAUGUCACAUUUCAGGAGACCAUAGAAAAGAUAAGUAAUAUGAAAUAAUACAAUUUAAUUAUGAGCAAACUUACACAAAUUUUAGCAAAUGAACCUUUGCAUUCAUAUAAACUGUUAUCCCUGUAAAAUUUAGCUCAUUCUGCUUUUGGCUUCCAGCAUUUUGUCACAGUAAUAAUCAUAGACAGUCUUACAGAUCCAAUGCAAGUGCUCACACCAAAGACAGAAAGGUGGUAGGAAAAGGUACUUUCAAUAUUUUUAGCAAACUAAAGUCUAUUUGAUUCCAUGAUAAUCAGCAAUAUCACAGUAGUUGAAGCAACUCAAUGUAAAUUUCAAGGAGUUUCAAAGGGUAAGUUAAGCACAACUCAC